AGCUUAGACACGCUUUCCGAUGAUGUGCACUAAACUAACCAUUUUACUUGGAGUUGUACAUUCUAAGAGUUUGAGGAAAUACUGAGAGCUUGGAAAUCGUGGCUGCCCUGAAUCGACGUCACUGUCAGAAUAUAUGUUCCCUCAAAAACCUGCAGACACUAAAUAAUCUGCAUCUGUUCACAGAAAGAUGCUGAAAGGAAAGGUGAAGACUAACCCAAGAUUGCUCAUAUGCCACAAAUUGAUAUCAUGCAUCCAUGAAGAUUGAACUGAUACAAAAUGCCUUUCAGAUGAUAUGAUCCAAACUCAUAUUGAACACUGCUCUUGUUUUGCAACAUUACUACACUGGAAAGGCAACUUGAACUCACUUAUAGACCUAUCUAUUGGUGACUGCAUUGAAUUGACAUCACCUUGGAAGAGAUGUGUUCCACAUGGAAAAUCUUUCAUUAAAUGCACCUACUUGCAAGAUACCAAAAGGAAAUAGGUGAAUACUUGCCCAAGAAUACAGAGGGCCACACUUGGUGAAGGUUUCAUCAGUAAGGAGAACCAUUUCAAAGUUUGUAGAAGAGAAGAAAGAUUUGAUCCAAGAUAUUCCUAAAGAUCGGAAACUUUCAGAGCCAUCCAAGAUCCCACAGCCUACCUUAAUAAUUUGGGGAGACCAAGAUAAGGUAUUCCUAGUAGAACUGGCUCACAAAUUGAAAAGGCAUUUCAGGCAAGGAGGUCCAACUUGUGAUCAUAGAAAAUACUUUUAUUAUAGAGAAGCCCAAGGAAAUAUUUAAGCACUUGAAAUCCUUUAUCAUUGAUUUGCUUCCACCUCCUAAGAAACACCUAGAACCACUCACACCAUGACGAAGUUAAAAGGAACUAAUGCAACAUUCUCAAUAUAUUAGAAUAUAUCGAAGGAAGGGUGGCCACAUAUGAAGACCCUAUUCCAAGAACUUGGAAUUCAUGGCUAACCUGAAUUGACAUCCCUGCCAGAAGAUAUGUUCCCUCAAAAGCCUGCAGACACUAAACAAUUUGCAUCUAUUCACACUUAGAGGAAAGCUACUGAAAGGAAAAGUGAAGACUAACCAAAGAUUUCUCAUAUCCCACAAAUUGAUAUCAUACAUCCAUGAAGAUUGAACUGAUACAGAAUGCCUUUCAGAUGAUAUAAUCCAAACUCAAAUUGAACACUACUCUUGUUUUGCAACAUUACUGCACUCGAAAGGUAGCUUUAACUCACUUAUAGACCUUCCUAUUGGUGAUUGCACUGAAUCGACAUCACUUCGGAAGAGAUGUGUUCCACAUAGAAAAUCUUUCAUUAUAUGCACCUACUCGCAAGAUACCAAAGGGAAACAGGUGAAUACUUUCCCAAGAAUACAAAGGCCAUACUUGGUGAAGAUUCUGUCAAUAAGGAGAACCAUUUCAAGCAUUUUGGGCGAGAAGACCCGACUUGUGAUCAUCAAUAACACAAGGCAUGCUUUUAUACAGAGAAGCCCAAAGAAACAUUUAAGCACUU